AGCAGCCGCGGUAAUUCCAGCUCCAAUAGCGUAUAUUAAAGUUGUUGCAGUUAAAAAGCUCGUAGUUGAAUUUCGGGGUCAGUAGGUUGGUCAUGCCACUGGUAUGUACUGGUCUCACUGAUUCCUCCUUCCUGAUGAACUGUAAUGCCAUUAAUUUGGUGUUGCAGGAAUCUGGACUGUUACUUUGAAAAAUUAGAGUGUUUAAAGCAGGCUAACGCCUGAAUACAUUAGCGUGGAAUAAUGAAAUAGGACGUUCGAUCCUAUUUUGUUGGUUUCUAGGAUUGACGUAAUGAUUAAUAGGGAUAGUUGGGGGCAUUAGUAUUCAAUUGUCAGAGGUGAAAUUCUUGGAUUUUAUUGAAGACUAACUACUGCGAAAGCAUUUGCCAAGGAUGUUUUCAUUAAUCAAGAACGAAAGUUAGGGGAUCGAAGACGAUCAGAUACCGUCGUAGUCUUAACCAUAAACUAUGCCGACUAGGGAUCGGAUGAUGUUAAUUUUUAAUGUACUCA
rnacentral:rRNA from 1 species